rnacentral:rRNA from 2 species
GUGACCUCAAAUCAGGUAGGACUACCCGCUGAACUUAAGCAUAUCAAUAAGCGGAGGAAAAGAAACUAACAAGGAUUCCCCUAGUAACUGCGAGUGAAGCGGGAAAAGCUCAAAUUUAAAAUCUGUCAGUCUUUGAUUGUCCGAAUUGUAAUCUAGAGAAGUGUUAUCCGCGUUGGACCGUGUACAAGUCUCCUGGAAUGGAGCGUCAUAGAGGGUGAGAAUCCCGUCUUUGACACGGACUGCCAGGGCUCUGUGAUACACUCUCAAAGAGUCGAGUUGUUUGGGAAUGCAGCUCAAAAUGGGUGGUAAAUUCCAUCUAAAGCUAAAUAUUGGCGAGAGACCGAUAGCGAACAAGUACCGUGAGGGAAAGAUGAAAAGAACUUUGGAAAGAGAGUUAAACAGUACGUGAAAUUGCUGAAAGGGAAACGCUUGAAGUCAGUCGCGUUGUCCAGGGAUCAACCUUGCUUUUGCUUGGUGUAUUUUCUGGUUAACGGGUCAGCAUCAAUUUUGACUAUUGGAAAAAAGUCAAGGGAAUGUGGCAUCUUAGGAUGUGUUAUAGCCCUUGGUUACAUACAAUUGUUGGGAUUGAGGAACUCAGCACGCCGCAAGGCCGGGUAUCUAAUGACCACGUACGUGCUAGAUG